rnacentral:rRNA from 1 species
AACAAACGCUGGCGGCGUGCCUAAUACAUGCAAGUCGAACGGGGAAAGCUUUCGGGUGAGUACUAGUGGCGCACGGGUGAGUAACGCGUGGAUAAUCUGCCUUAGAGUGGGGGAUAACUAGUCGAAAGAUUAGCUAAUACCGCAUAAGACCACAAGAACUGCGGUUCAAGGGGUCAAAGGUUUUUCGCUCUAAGAUGAGUCCGCGUAAGAUUAGCUAGUUGGUAGGGUAACGGCCUACCAAGGCGACGAUCUUUAACUGGUCUGAGAGGAUGAUCAGUCACACUGGAACUGAGACACGGUCCAGACUCCUACGGGAGGCAGCAGUAGGGAAUAUUGCACAAUGGAGGAAACUCUGAUGCAGCGACGCCGCGUGAGUGAUGAAGGCCUUCGGGUCGUAAAGCUCUGUCGCAGGGGAAUAACACAAUGAAGGUACCCUGUAAGAAAGGAUCGGCUAACUUCGUGCCAGCAGCCGCAGUAACAC